rnacentral:tRNA from 1 species
GUCGGGAUAGCUCAGUGGUAGAGCAGAGGACUGAAAA